CCUACGGGCGGCAGCAGUGGGGAAUAUUGCACAAUGGGGGAAACCCUGAUGCAGUGACGCCGCGUGAGUGAAGAAGUAUUUCGGUACGUAAAGCUCUAUCAGCAGGGAAGAAAAUGACGGUACCUGACUAAGAAGCCCCGACUAACUACGUGCCAGCAGCCGCGGUAAUACGUAGGGGGCAAGCGUUAUCCGGAUUUACUGGGUGUAAAGGGAGCGUAGACGGCAGCGCAAGUCUGGAGUGAAAUCCCAUGGCUUAACCAUGGAACUGCUUUGGAAACUGUGCAGCUAGAGUGCAGGAGAGGUAAGCGGAAUUCCUAGUGUAGCGGUGAAAUGCGUAGAUAUUAGGAGGAACACCAGUGGCGAAGGCGGCUUACUGGACUGUAACUGACGUUGAGGCUCGAAAGCGUGGGGAGCAAACAGGAUUAGAUACCCGAGUAGUC
rnacentral:rRNA from 1 species